GAUGAAGAACGUAGUGAAAUGCGAUACGUAAUGUGAAUUGCAGAAUUCAGUGUAUCAUCGAGUCUUUGAACGCACAUUGCGCCCCCUGGUAUUCCGGGGGGCAUGCCUGUCCGAGCGUCAUUGCUGCCCUCAAGCACGGCUUGUGUGUUGGGCCUCCGUCCUCCUCCCGGGGGACGGGCCCGAAAGGCAGCGGCGGCACCGCGUCCGGUCCUCGAGCGUAUGGGGCUUCGUCACCCGCUCUUGUAGGCCCGGCCGGCGCUUGCCGACACAUCAAUCUUUUUUCCAGGUUGACCUCGGAUCAGGUAGGGAUACCCGCUGAACUUAAGCAUAUCAAUAAGCGGAGGA
rnacentral:misc_RNA from 1 species